CCCGCGGGCUGCGACUCACUCUGAGUGCGCCGGGCCGUUGGGCGGGAGACACCCUUCUUGUAACCCCGACCCGGUCUCCGUGAGAGAUUGGAAGGGUCUGCUGUUACUAGUCCAAUAUGCAUCUUCUGAGGAAGAGAUAUACCUGAAGGACAUCCCCACUUAAAUCUAUGGAGGGCAAUACUCCAAGUUUGGCUGCCUCCCCCAAAGAGCACUUGGAAAAACUGAGAUGCCUACGCUGCCAUAUAUCUUUUAAACUCCUACAUUCAAGACCAGCAACCACUGCUACAUACUCACCAUUUCUCCUUGGAUUAAUGCAAAGAAGCUGUUUGGUCCCGGGUAGAUUUUUGCUGCACUCUUCCUGGUUUACCCGUAGUAAUUUGUUCAACAUUGGCUCAAGAAAUAUUGGUGUUGGCGCGCAAGUCCUCUGAAGAGACUGUGUGCCCGCAGGUACCUGUGUUUUCCAAGAAAUAUUGGUGUCUACUACAUUGAAAGGUGAUCAGAGCCUUCCACCAUCUCGAGUGCUCUCUCUCUCUCUCUCUCUCUCUCUCUCGCUCUCGCUCUCGCUCUCGCUCUCGCUCUCGCUCUCGCUCUCGCUCUCGCUCUCUCUCUCUCCUCUCAGCUCCAGAGGUGAACACUCAGCUGUGCCACUCCUGUGCUCUACCAUCAUAGACUCUAACCCUCCGAAAACCUUAAAUCCUCAAGAGAAACGAGGAGGGAAAAAAAAAAAAAAACUACUUUCUUUACAAAUUGCAUUGGUCACAGUGUUUUGUCACCAUAGCAAUAGGGAAACACCCAAGGCACAAAGUAGCAGAAUAAAAAGCACGAAGCCCAAUAUUUUAUUUUGUUCUCUCAAACGAAUGCUAACUCUUCUGAUAUUUGAACAUGAGGAUGUUUGAUGACCAGAAAAGCUUGCCAAGUUCAAGGCAGAUACAGGGUCAACCAAAGAGAAUCAGCACAAGGUUACGGUGGACAGAUGGGUAGCUCGGAGCCAGAUUACUGAAUACCUGCAAGGAUGUGGUAAGGGGUGCU
ensembl:lncRNA